rnacentral:rRNA from 1 species
ACGAACGCUGGCGGCUGCUUAACACAUGCAAGUCGAACGGAGUGGCGAACGGGUGAGUAACGCGUGAGCAACCUGCCUAUGACAGUGGGAUAGCCUCGGGAAACCGGGAUUAAUACCGCAUAGUCAUAGAUGAGCUCGCGUCUGAUUAGCUAGUUGGUGAGAUAACAGCACACCAAGGCGACGAUCAGUAGCCGGUGUGAGAGGAAGAACGGCCACAUUGGAACUGAGACACGGUACAAACUCCGACGGGAGGGAGCAGUGGGGAAUAUUGCACAAUGGGGGAAACCCUGAUGCAGCGACGCCGCGUGAACGAAGAAGGUAUUCGUAGCGUAAAGUUCUGGCCGAUGGGAAGCAGUACCAUAGAAGAAAGCCCCGGCUAAAUACGUGCCAGCAGCCGCGGUAAUAC